GAUGAACGCUGGCGGCGUGCUUAACACAUGCAAGUCGAACGGAAAGGCUCCUGCUUGCAGGGGUACUCGAGUGGCGAACGGGUGAGUAACACGUGGGUGAUCUGCCCUGCACUUCGGGAUAAGCCUGGGAAACUGGGUCUAAUACCGGAUAGGACGAUGGUUUGGAUGCCAUUGUGGAAAGUUUUUCGGUGUGGGGUGAGCUCGCGGCCUAUCAGCUUGUUGGUGGGGUAAUGGCCUACCAAGGCGUCGACGGGUAGCCGGCCUGAGAGGGUGUACGGCCACAUUGGGACUGAGAUACGGCCCAGACUCCUACGGGAGGCAGCAGUGGGGAAUAUUGCACAAUGGGCGCAAGCCUGAUGCAGCGACGCCGCGUGGGGGAUGACGGCCUUCGGGUUGUAAACUCCUUUCGCUAGGGACGAAGCGCAAGUGACGGUACCUGGAGAAGAAGCACCGGCUAACUACGUG
rnacentral:rRNA from 1 species